AUGUGGGUCUGCAGUACCCUGUGGCGGGUGCGAACCCCCGCCCGGCAGUGGCGGGGGCUGCUCCCAGCUUCUGGCUGUCGCGGACCUGCCGCCUCCUCCUACUCCGCAUCCGCCGAGCCUGCCCGGGUCCGGGCGCUUGUCUAUGGGCACCACGGGGAUCCAGCCAAGGUCGUCGAGUGUACAGCCUUGGCCUCAAAGGAGCCAUUGUGACCUUAUCCAGGCUGGGAUCUGUUGAUUGAGGACAGUGGCAUCCCCUCGAGUUGCAUGGCGCCAUUACACUCACGGAGGACGUGAACGAGGUAUAACCAGGGAAUUGUUUCAGAGGUUUCCUUGGAUAUUCCUACAACUGAUAACAGCUGUCAUUUCUUCAGCAUCUACUGUGUAGGUACUACCAUAAAUGCUUUACAUACAUUAACUCAUUUAAUCCCGUGAACUGAGUUCUCGUGUUAUCCCAUUUUACGGAGGAAUAUUCUGAGGUUUAUCUAGCUGAUAAAUGACCAAGACUCAAGAACCUGGAGCUAGCUGCUGUGGGAGGAUCAGAUGUCCGUGUGAAGAUGCUGGCGGCCCCUAUCAAUCCAUCUGACAUAAAUAUGAUCCAAGGAAACUACGGACUCCUUCCUGAACUGCCUGCUGUUGGAGGGAACGAAGGUGUUGCACAGGUGGUAGCGGUGGGCAGCAAUGUGACCGGGCUGAAGCCAGGAGACUGGGUGAUUCCAGCAAAUGCUGGUUUAGGAACCUGGCGGACCGAGGCUGUGUUCAGCGAGGAAGCACUGAUCCAAGUUCCGAGUGACAUCCCUCUUCAGAGCGCUGCCACCCUGGGUGUCAAUCCCUGCACAGCCUACAGGAUGUUGAUGGACUUCGAGCAACUGCAGCCAGGGGAUUCUGUCAUCCAGAAUGCAUCCAACAGCGGAGUGGGGCAAGCGGUCAUCCAGAUCGCCGCAGCCCUGGGCCUAAGAACCAUCAAUGUG
rnacentral:sRNA from 1 species